GGCCGGCUUCCAGCGGCGGCCGCUGGGCCGCGCUCCCCACACAGUGGUGCCCGGCGGCCGCUACCCGCCAGUCGGCAAGGCCGGCAGUCGCAAGCAGCAGGGGAAGCGGAAGCUGGGCGGCCGAGACGCAGACGGCGGCCUGCUGCCGACCGGCCGGGCCAUGACCGUGGACACCUCGGCCAGCGCCGAGGUGGGCCAGGUGACUAUGGACGGCGCCGGCGG